rnacentral:rRNA from 1 species
UACGAAGGGGGCUAGCGUUGCUCGGAAUCACUGGGCGUAAAGCGCACGUAGGCGGGUUCUUAAGUCGGUGGUGAAAUCCUGGAGCUCAACUCCAGAACUGCCUCCGAUACUGAGAGCCUCGAGUCCGGGAGAGGUGAGUGGAACUGCGAGUGUAGAGGUGAAAUUCGUAGAUAUUCGCAAGAACACCAGUGGCGAAGGCGGCUCACUGGCCCGGUACUGACGCUGAGGUGCGAAAGCUAGGGGAGCAAACGGG